GUGGCGGAAAACUGCCUGAUGGAGGGGGAUAACUACUGGAAACGGUAGCUAAUACCGCAUAACGUCGCAAGACCAAAGAGGGGGACCUUCGGGCCUCUUGCCAUCAUAUGUGCCCAUAUGGGAUUAUCUAGUAGGUGGGGUAACGGCUCACCUAGGCGACGAUCCCUAGCUGGUCUGAGAAGAUGACCAGCCACACUGGAACUGAGACACGGUCCAGACUCCUACGGGAGGCAGCAGUGGGGAAUAUUGCACAAUGGGCGCAAGCCUGAUGCAGCCAUGCCGCGUGUAUGAAGAAGGCCUUCGGGUUGUAAAGUACUUUCAGCGGGGAGGAAGGUGUUGAGGUUAAUAACCUCAGCAAUUGACGUUACCCGCAGAAGAAGCACCGGCUAACUCCGUGCCAGCAGCCGCGGUAAUACGGAGGGUGCAAGCGUUAAUCGGAAUUACUGGGCGUAAAGCGCACGCAGGCGGUCUGUCAAGUCGGAUGUGAAAUCCCCGGGCUCAACCUGGGAACUGCAUUCGAAACUGGCAGGCUAGAGUCUUGUAGAGGGGGGUAGAAUUCCAGGUGUAGCGGUGAAAUGCGUAGAGAUCUGGAGGAAUACCGGUGGCGAAGGCGGCCCCCUGGACAAAGACUGACGCUCAUGUGCGAAAGCGUGGGGAGCAAACAGGAUUAUAUACCCUGGUAGUCCACGCCGUAAACGAUGUCGACUUGGAGGUUGUGCCCUUGAGGCGUGUCUUCCGGAGCUAACGCGUUAUGUCGACCGCCUGGGGAGUACUGCCGCAAGGUUAACACUCAUAUGAAUUGACGGGGGCCCGCACAAGCGGUGGAGCAUGUGGUUUAAUUCGAUGCAACGCGAAGAACCUUACCUACUCUUGACAUCCAGAGAACUUUCCAGAGAUGGCUUGGUGCCUUCGGGAACUCUGAGACAGGUGCUGCAUGGCUGUCGUCAGCUCGUGUUGUGAAAUGUUGGGUUAGUUCCGGCUACGAGCGCAACCCUUAUCCUUUGUUGCCAGCGGUCCGGCCGGGAACUCAAAGGAGACUGCCAGUGAUAAACUGGAGGAAGGUGGGGAUGACGUCAAGUCAUCAUGGCCCUUACGAGUAGGGCUACACACGUGCUACAAUGGCGCAUACAAAGAGAAGCGACCUCGCGAGAGCAAGCGGACCUCAUAAAGUGCGUCGUAGUCCGGAUUGGAGUCUGCAACUCG
rnacentral:rRNA from 1 species